rnacentral:tRNA from 1 species
GUCCUCGUAGCUUAAUGGAUAAAGCAUCGGAUUGCGGAUCCGAGGACUGAGGGUUCGACUCCCUCCGAGGGCG